AGUCUUAUAGUCAAUUAUGAUAUUAAAUUGCAAGUUUAGAGGUAUUUUUAAAUUAAGACUU
rnacentral:tRNA from 1 species